AACGUAGGAGACGAACGUUAUCCGGAGUUACUGGGCGUAAAGGGCGUGUAGGCGGUUUGUUAAGUCUGGCGUGAAAGCUCUCGGCUAAACCGGGAGAGGUCGUUGGAUACUGGCGAACUCGAGGAUGGUAGAGGCGUGUGGAAUUCCGGGUGUAGUGGUGAAAUGCGUAGAGAUCCGGAGGAACACCAGUGGCGAAGGCGACACGCUGGGCCAUACCUGACGCUCAGCCACGAAAGCAUGGGGAGCGAACGGG
rnacentral:rRNA from 1 species